UACGGAGGGGGCUAGCGUUGUUCGGAAUUACUGGGCGUAAAGCGCGCGUAGGCGGCUUUGUAAGUUAGAGGUGAGAGCCCGGAGCUCAACUCCGGAACUGCCUUUAAGGCUGCAUCGCUAGAACGUCGGAGAGGUAAGUGGAAUUCCGAGUGUAGAGGUGAAAUUCGUAGAUAUUCGGAAGAACACCAGUGGCGAAGGCGACUUACUGGACGACUGUUGACGCUGAGGUGCGAAAGCGUGGGGAGCAAACAGG
rnacentral:rRNA from 1 species